AACCUCGAGUCAGCUACUCGCAAGGCAGACUUCAUCUCCGGCUUUGCUAUCCAGCAGUCGCUGGACUUCCUCGCUGUCACUGAGACCUGUCCCAGCGACGUCACCUCUAUCUAACCACCCUCUUAGUUUUGAACCUGUAGGCUUUGAUGCAGCUGAUAGGUUGACAUCACACAGAGACCCUCCUACCUGCAGAUCCUCAUAAUGACCAUAUGAGGCCGUUUCUGUCAGACAGCAUGGAUAUGAUCCUCAAUAAACCAGGCCUCUUCAGAUGGUUCAUCUCCUUGCUGUGGACUGCAGGUCUGACAGGCGGCAGCGACGUCGUCCAGACCUCGAUGCUCUGGGAAGUCGAGGGUGUCGAUGCAACGAUGGACUGCAGCCACACCAAGGGGGCUACGUUCUUCCAGAUGUACUGGUACCGACAGCUGCCGGGAGAAACCAUGAAGCAGAUCGUGUACACGUCCACCUCCAGCACGGAUCACGAUUUUGGAGAUUUCAGCAAAGACAAAUUUUCCGCCACCAAGCCGAAUGUCACCAGCGGGACGCUGACGGUGAAGAAGCUGCACCCGGGAGACAAAGGCUGGUACUUCUGUGCUGUGAGUGAACACAGUGACGCAGGGAACCUCACUGGCUGAACAAAAACACCCCCGGUGCUUCUCACGAGCUGUAGAG